UACGUAGGGUGCGAGCGUUUAAUCGGAAUUACUGGGCGUAAAGCGUGCGCAGGCGGUCUGUUAAGACAGAUGUGAAAUCCCCGGGCUUAACCUGGGAACUGCACUUGUGACUGCACAGCUGGAGUACGGCAGAGGGGGAUGGAAUUCCGCGUGUAGCAGUGAAAUGCGUAGAUAUCAGGAGGAACACCGAUGGACGAAGGCAGGUCUCUGGGACUGGACACU
rnacentral:rRNA from 1 species